ACAUCUCUUGGAGUUCUAGCUCACCUUUCUGGUGUUGUUCUUGUACUCAUCUGUUUAAUCUAGUUCUGCCACUUCUUCUUGAACUUCUUGUUAGAUUUCAAGUCUGUAUUUUGUGUCCGUGAUAGUUUGUCGAGACUACACUAACUUGAGAUAUCAGAGCUAGUUCUUUCUUAGUAGAGUGUGGAUUACCCCUCUACUUGAAGGUAUACUAGCAUUUUUUAGAAGUUGCGGAUUACCCUCAUCUAAACUGAUACUUCUUCUGUUACAAUAUUGGAGUCUUAUUCUUCUUGGAGAGAGUGGAUUACCCCUCUUCUUGAAAUUCUUAAGGCAUUUUAUAGGUUGUGGAUUACCCUCCUAUAAACCAAUAUUGUCUCUUAUAGGG
rnacentral:lncRNA from 1 species